CCUACGGUGGGCAGCAGUGGGGAAUAUUGGACAAUGGGCGAAAGCCUGAUCCAGCCAUGCCGCGUGUGUGAAGAAGGCCUUCGGGUUGUAAAGCACUUUCAGUGGGGAAGAAAGCCUUGGGGCUAAUACCCUCGAGGAAGGACAUCACCCACAGAAGAAGCACCGGCUAACUCCGUGCCAGCAGCCGCGGUAAUACGGAGGGUGCGAGCGUUAAUCGGAAUUACUGGGCGUAAAGCGCGCGUAGGCGGUCUGAUAAGCCGGUUGUGAAAGCCCCGGGCUCAACCUGGGAACGGCAUCCGGAACUGUCAGGCUAGAGUGCAGGAGAGGAAGGUAGAAUUCCCGGUGUAGCGGUGGAAUGCGUAGAGAUCGGGAGGAAUACCAGUGGCGAAGGCGGCCUUCUGGACUGACACUGACGCUGAGGUGCGAAAGCGUGGGUAGCAAACAGGAUUAGAUACCCGAGUAGUC
rnacentral:rRNA from 1 species